rnacentral:ncRNA from 24 species
GAUGGGCAGGGGGGGCGCGUGGCUGAGAUUAUACGGCCUAACACUUGAUCUGGAUAAUACCAGCGAAAGGAUCAUGCCUCCCCCCUGAU